CAUGCUUUUUAUUGCUCUUAGCUUGACUGUUCUCUCCCUUGUACGUCGCUUUGGACAAAAGCGUCUGCUAAAUGACUAAAUGUAAAUGUAAAUGGGAUAAUGUUCAGCUAAAAGUUGUUUAUGGAAUUCGGUGGCUGAGCUCACUACGCAAAAACACUGACCAACAACAGCAAAUAGGAAAAAUGAAAACACAGGUUUUCAUCUAAGAGGUAAACAAAUUGAUUUAUUCUUAUGACUCAUUCAUUCAAAGAAGUUCAGUUUCAUGUCAGCAAUGUCUCUAUCAAUACAGCCUACUCAAUAAGAAAUUUAAAAACAGAUAAAAAAAAAAGAAGAUAAUAAAAGGAUAAAAAAUAAUCUGUUUUGGAA